CAACAAAAAAAUCAACCACCACCUUUUAUUUAAAAGUCUAACCUUGGGAAUUUGCUGGUUUCAGGAAAGAGGAGCCAGCCGAGUGGACCAUGAACUGGGAGAAGGCACUCAGUGAAUAUUGUCCCGGCUCCCAGUAAUUCUGUCCACUGAUGACACCUGCCACCUUCUGCUCAUACUUCCUGAGUCAACAUGGCCACUCCUAACUUUGGAAUGACUGUAGACAUUCUAUGUUACAAUGAGCCUGGAAGAAAGAAGAGAAAUGAUGGUCUCUAAGCCUUCAGGAAAAGGUGUGAUACUGAUGUGACCACUCCACUGCCGUUGACCAAUUAAUAACUGCCAUGGAAGGAUGUUCGUCCUGCCAAUUGGCACUUACCAAUGACACCGAGGGAGAGGGACAGAGUGCCUAGGUAUGAGCCUUCAUCAAGUGUUAUGAAGGCCCUUCUCCAACAGAAAGUGCUCAUGUGAAGAAAUGAUGCUUUGGACAAGACUUGCCUCCAAGCUGGUGUCCAGGGCUUGUCAAACGGGGUCCCUGGGCAUCAUCCCUGUUGCAUAUUCUUUCGAAUA